UGAGGAAUAUUGGUCAAUGGACGCAAGUCUGAACCAGCCAUGCCGCGUGCAGGAAGAAUGCCCUAUGGGUUGUAAACUGCUUUUAUCAGGGAAUAAACCUCAAUACGUGUAUUGAGCUGAAGGUACCUGAUGAAUAAGCACCGGCUAACUCCGUGCCAGCAGCCGCGGUAAUACGGAGGGUGCAAGCGUUAUCCGGAAUCAUUGGGUUUAAAGGGUCCGCAGGCGGACCUAUAAGUCAGUGGUGAAAGCCUAUUGCUCAACAAUAGAACUGCCAUUGAUACUGUAGGUCUUGAAUUCGGUCGAAGUGGGCGGAAUAUGACAUGUAGCGGUGAAAUGCUUAGAUAUGUCAUAGAACACCGAUAGCGAAGGCAGCUCACUAGGCCUGGAUUGACGCUCAGGGACGAAAGCGUGGGGAGCAAACAGG
rnacentral:rRNA from 1 species